AAAGCUAUGGUAAGGGAUCGAAAAACAAGCGAUUUCUUUUUAUUACCAUAUUUUACAUGGCCUGCGUUGAAGUGAUUUUUGAGCUGAUUAUAAAUGGCUUAUUUUUUUUAGUUGCUCAAAAAUACUUAGUUGAACUCACUUAUUUCAUAGUUUGGGGUCACGUCUAACCGUAAGACGUCUUAACAAAGAAAUUAGCGUUUAAGGUUUCAGUUGGGUUUUUGGAAGAAGUGGCCGUAGCAACUAGUAAUUAGCAAGCUUUUGUAGAGGUUCUUGACGAUGCGUCCAUGGCGGAUACCUAUAUUAACUUCCAAAAGAACAUUACGGGCAUUAUCCACAUCAUUUAGAGCGAAAUUUGAAGAUGAAGGUUCAUGGUCUUAUUCUCCUGAGUGGUGGGGCUCCGAUUCCGAUCACCAUUCUCGCUCUGUCUUCCAAGCUAACUCUCUUCAUGGCAACGGCGUCGUUUCCGUCCUUGCUUAUCGUUCUUCUAUUCCCUUUCCAAGACAGGAUUCGGUGGGAAGAUUUCAAUUUCUGAAUGAAAAUACUUGGUGGAGAACUGAAGACUGGCUUAGAAAAAGAUAUGCUGAAGUAUGUUCUGAUAGUAAGCAUGAUGAAGAUUUCAAAGUACUUGGUUACCAAUGGCGUGUUCUUCGUUUUAAUGAUGCAACACGCCAGAGUGCUGUGAAAGUUAUGUUAGCUUCAAAAGUCUCGGAUCCUAGCUCAGUAUGCUACAUGCAGCAACCACACGUUUUGGCUGUUCCCUAUACUAAAAGCAUGGUAGUUGCUGGAUUGACAGCUCUAUCAUCUACCGAUUAUGAUCUGAGGACUGCAAUUACUGGAAAGCAAACAAUGCGUGUCUUAUGUAUAGGACACGGUGGAGGAAGCUUACCAUUAUUUCUAGCUUCUAAAAUUCAAGGUGCUCUUGUUGACAUUGUUGAAAUUGAUCCUCUUGUUAUUACCACGUCUAUAAAAGCAAUGGGCUUUCCUUCAUUCUCAGUUGCAGUUCCUCCAGGUCAUCAUGUUGUCCCAAAACCCAAUACUAUGGAUGAAGUUCUAUGGAAAGGCAUCCAUGAGAGACUUUUCCUCUAUGAAUCAGACGCUGAGAAGUUCAUCCUCAACACGGAGAAUAAGUAUGACAUUAUCUUCAUUGACGCAUAUGAUGGUGAUGAUAUUUUCCCUCACAAAUUACGGGAUCCAGAAUCUCCCUUCCUUAUAGCCCUUGGUAGCAGACUUCAUCCUUAUCACGGGACUGUUGUAGUAAAUCUUCAUUCUGAUGAUGACGUACUCUGUGAAGACGCAUCAAUUAUGCCUAUAGGAAAAUAUGUAUCUCGAGUUCUCCAAGCAUACAAAGAUAUGUUACUGGGUGAUAAAAAAUCCUCGGGUAGACAAAAACUUCCCGGAGUGGGCUUUGUUGUUUCAGUGCCUUGGUUGUGCAAUACAACCCUUGUUGUGUCUAGAGGUUUAAGUGCUGCUGUAGGAAGUUUGGACCAAGAUUCGGUUUUGAAUGUCCUUUAUUCAAAGGCUCUUGAUAUCAACAGGGAUUUAAAUAUGCCUUUCUCGUGUUUACAGUAUCUAAAGAGAGGUUUCAUUCUUGGGUGACAUUCAGACGUAUGUCCUGUUCCGCAAGCUGUGGGCCUUUUUAGGAGAUCGCAAGAAGCUUGUAUUCUUGCCUGGACUAUUACAAAUAUUAUAAAUCGCCCUUGGCGCACCUUCAUAAAAGCUAGCGCACACUUGCUUGGCCCCAGGGAAGAUUUGAAGUUCGUCUUAUUGAACUGAACGUGCAUUAUUUGUUUUUCUCAGAUGGUAAGUAGCUUGCACAAGAGAAACAGCAGCGUUCGACAUUGAAGUUAAAAGUCCGCUCAAUCUACUUAGUUUUUCCACGAGCUUAUGGCCUUGAGCAUAUUUGAUGUUAAAAGUCCGCUGUUUUUCUGGUGCGUUA